GUUAGUGGAAGCGUCUGGAAAGGCGCGCGAUACAGGGUGACAGCCCCGUACACAAAAAUGCACAUACUGUGAGCUCGAUGAGUAGGGCGGGACACGUGGUAUCCUGUCUGAAUAUGGGGGGACCAUCCUCCAAGGCUAAAUACUCCUGACUGACCGAUAGUGAACCAGUACCGUGAGGGAAAGGCGAAAAGAACCCCGGCGAGGGGAGUGAAAAAGAACCUGAAACCGUGUACGUACAAGCAGUGGGAGCCUCUUAAUGGGGUGACUGCGUACCUUUUGUAUAAUGGGUCAGCGACUUAUAUUCUGUAGCAAGGUUAACCGAAUAGGGGAGCCGAAGGGAAACCGAGUCUUAACUGGGCGUUAAGUUGCAGGGUAUAGACCCGAAACCCGGUGAUCUAGCCAUGGGCAGGUUGAAGGUUGGGUAACACUAACUGGAGGACCGAACCGACUAAUGUUGAAAAAUUAGCGGAUGACUUGUGGCUGGGGGUGAAAGGCCAAUCAAACCGGGAGAUAGCUGGUUCUCCCCGAAAGCUAUUUAGGUAGCGCCUCGUGAAUUCAUCUCCGGGGGUAGAGCACUGUUUCGGCAAGGGGGUCAUCCCGACUUACCAACCCGAUGCAAACUGCGAAUACCGGAGAAUGUUAUCACGGGAGACACACGGCGGGUGCUAACGUCCGUCGUGAAGAGGGAAACAACCCAGACCGCCAGCUAAGGUCCCAAAGUCAUGGUUAAGUGGGAAACGAUGUGGGAAGGCCCAGACAGCCAGGAUGUUGGCUUAGAAGCAGCCAUCAUUUAAAGAAAGCGUAAUAGCUCACUGGUCGAGUCGGCCUGCGCGGAAGAUGUAACGGGGCUAAACCAUGCACCGAAGCUGCGGCAGCGACACUAUGUGUUGUUGGGUAGGGGAGCGUUCUGUAAGCCUGUGAAGGUGUACUGUGAGGUAUGCUGGAGGUAUCAGAAGUGCGAAUGCUGACAUAAGUAACGAUAAAGCGGGUGAAAAGCCCGCUCGCCGGAAGACCAAGGGUUCCUGUCCAACGUUAAUCGGGGCAGGGUGAGUCGACCCCUAAGGCGAGGCCGAAAGGCGUAGUCGAUGGGAAACAGGUUAAUAUUCCUGUACUUGGUGUUACUGCGAAGGGGGGACGGAGAAGGCUAUGUUGGCCGGGCGACGGUUGUCCCGGUUUAAGCGUGUAGGCUGGUUUUCCAGGCAAAUCCGGAAAAUCAAGGCUGAGGCGUGAUGACGAGGCACUACGGUGCUGAAGCGACAAAUGCCCUGCUUCCAGGAAAAGCCUCUAAGCAUCAGGUAACAUCAAAUCGUACCCCAAACCGACACAGGUGGUCAGGUAGAGAAUACCAAGGCGCUUGAGAGAACUCGGGUGAAGGAACUAGGCAAAAUGGUGCCGUAACUUCGGGAGAAGGCACGCUGAUAUGUAGGUGAAGCGACUUGCUCGUGGAGCUGAAAUCAGUCGAAGAUACCAGCUGGCUGCAACUGUUUAUUAAAAACACAGCACUGUGCAAACACGAAAGUGGACGUAUACGGUGUGACGCCUGCCCGGUGCCGGAAGGUUAAUUGAUGGGGUUAGCGGUAACGCGAAGCUCUUGAUCGAAGCCCCGGUAAACGGCGGCCGUAACUAUAACGGUCCUAAGGUAGCGAAAUUCCUUGUCGGGUAAGUUCCGACCUGCACGAAUGGCGUAAUGAUGGCCAGGCUGUCUCCACCCGAGACUCAGUGAAAUUGAACUCGCUGUGAAGAUGCAGUGUACCCGCGGCAAGACGGAAAGACCCCGUGAACCUUUACUAUAGCUUGACACUGAACAUUGAGCCUUGAUGUGUAGGAUAGGUGGGAGGCUUUGAAGUGUGGACGCCAGUCUGCAUGGAGCCGACCUUGAAAUACCACCCUUUAAUGUUUGAUGUUCUAACGUGGGCCCCUUACCGGGGUUGCGGACAGUGUCUGGUGGGUAGUUUGACUGGGGCGGUCUCCUCCUAAAGAGUAACGGAGGAGCACGAAGGUUGGCUAAUCCUGGUCGGACAUCAGGAGGUUAGUGCAAUGGCAUAAGCCAGCUUGACUGCGAGCGUGACGGCGCGAGCAGGUGCGAAAGCAGGUCAUAGUGAUCCGGUGGUUCUGAAUGGAAGGGCCAUCGCUCAACGGAUAAAAGGUACUCCGGGGAUAACAGGCUGAUACCGCCCAAGAGUUCAUAUCGACGGCGGUGUUUGGCACCUCGAUGUCGGCUCAUCACAUCCUGGGGCUGAAGUAGGUCCCAAGGGUAUGGCUGUUCGCCAUUUAAAGUGGUACGCGAGCUGGGUUUAGAACGUCGUGAGACAGUUCGGUCCCUAUCUGCCGUGGGCGCUGGAGAACUGAGGGGGGCUGCUCCUAGUACGAGAGGACCGGAGUGGACGCAUCACUGGUGUUCGGGUUGUCAUGCCAAUGGCACUGCCCGGUAGCUAAAUGCGGAAGAGAUAAGUGCUGAAAGCAUCUAAGCACGAAACUUGCCCCGAGAUGAGUUCUCCCUGACUCCUUGAGAGUCCUGAAGGAACGUUGAAGACGACGACGUUGAUAGGCCGGGUGUGUAAGCGCAGCGAUGCGUUGAGCUAACCGGUACUAAUGAACCGUGAGGCUUAACCUU
rnacentral:rRNA from 1 species